GAUGAACGCUGGCGGCGUGCCUAAUACAUGCAAGUCGAGCGGUAAGGCUCCUGCAGUUUAUUUGACAAACCGGGUCGUGACUUCGAAGAAGUCACGUCGUUCAACGAAAGAAGAACGACUACGGUAACCGACUUACAGGCUAGUAAGGGGGGUCGAAUAAAGUGCUGGAGUACACGAGCGGCGGACGGGUGAGUAACACGUAGGAACGUACCCCAAACUGAGGGAUAAGCAACCAGAAAUGGUGUCUAAUACCGCAU
rnacentral:rRNA from 1 species